AGGGCGUACGGUGAAUGCCUUGGUGCCAACAGGCGAAGAAGGACGCGGCAAGCUGCGAAAAACCUCGGGAAGCUGCAAGCAAGCGAUGAUCCGGGGGUGUCCGAAUGGGGUAACCUGACUGGGGUAAUACCUGGUCGUUCAUACCUGAAUACAUAGGGUAUGAAACGCAAUACCCGCUGAAGUGAAACAUCUCAGUAAGCGGAGGAAAAGAAAGAGAAAUCGAUUCCGUAAGUAGUGGCGAGCGAAAGCGGAUGGAGCCCAAACCGAAGGUACUCCUUCGGGGUUGUAGGACCACGACAUAUUCGACCAUAGUGGAUAGUAGAACAGUCUGGAAAGGCUGGCCAUAGAAGGUGAAAGCCCUGUAGACGAAAUCCAGAGUGGGAAUUAGUGGUAUCCUGAGUAAUACAUCACACGUGGAACGAUGUAUGAAUCAGCGCGGACCACCGCGCAAGGCUAAAUACUAGUUGGCGACCGAUAGUGAACAAGUACCGCGAGGGAAAGGUGAAAAGAACCGCUGUGAGCGGAGUGAAAUAGAACCUGAAACCGUAUGUCUACAAAGUGUCAGAGCAGAGCAAUCUGCGAUGGCGUGCCUUUUGUUUAAUGAGUCUGCGAGUCAGUGUUUGUGGCAAGACUAAGGGCUUCCGGCCCGGAGUCGCAGCGAAAGCAAGUCCGAAUAGGGCGCAUUAAGUCGCAGGUACUGGACCCGAAGCGGAGGUGACCUACCCUUGGCCAGGUUGAAGCAUGGGUAAAACCAUGUGGAGGACCGAACAGGUGAACGUUGAAAAGUUCUCUGAUGAGCUGAGGGUAGGAGUGAAAGGCUAAUCAAACCCCGUGAUAGCUGGUUCUCUUCGAAAUGCAUUUAGGUGCAGCGUCACGUGCUGAUGCGCGGGGGUAGAGCACUGACAAGGCUAGGGGGCACACCCGCUUACCAAACCUUAUCAAACUCCGAAUACCGUGCAAUGGAACGUGGCAGUGAGACAGUGGGGGAUAAGCUUCAUUGUCGAGAGGGAAACAACCCAGACCAGCAGCUAAGGUGCCUAAAUAACGCUGAGUGGAAAGGAUGUGGGAUUACACAGACAGUGAGGAUGUUGGCUUAGAAGCAGCCACCAUUUAAAAAAUGCGUAAUAGCUUACUCAUCGAGUGAUCCUGCGCCGAAAAUGAUUGGCGAUCAAGCGUUAUACCGAAGCUCUGGACUUUGCCGCAAGGCAGAGUGGUAGAAGAGCGUUGCAUGCGCAUUGAAGGGUGAUGGCGACUGACCCUGGAGCGCAUGCAAGUGAGUAUGCAGACAUGAGUAACGUAAAGCCGGGUGAAAUCCCCGGCCGCCGUAAACCCGAGGUUUCCAGGGCAACGUGUUUCGUCCCUGGGUUAGCCGGGACCUAAGCCGAGGCCGAGAGGCGUAGGCGAUGGAUAUCAGGUUAAUAAUCCUGAGCUCGCGACCCUUAAACUGGGGGGACGCAUGAGAAGAGAUGACCAGGUUAUUGAAUUCCGAGCUGGGUCCACGGACCCAGCGCAUCAUCAAAUCGAGUGCCAAGAAAAGCCCCAGCGUAUGCUAAGCGACCCGUACCGCAAACCGACACAGGUGGGUGGGUAGAAUAUACCAAGGCGUAAGAGUGAAACCUGGUUAAGGAACUCGGCAAAUUAGCCCCGUAACUUCGGAAGAAGGGGUGCCUGCAGCGAUGCAGGCCGCAGAGAAAUGGCCCAACCGACUGUUUAUCAAAAACACAGCACUCUGCAAAGACGCAAGUCGAAGUAUAGGGUGUGACACGUGACCAAUGCCGAAAGAUUAAGGCAAGGGGUUAGCCGCAAGGCGAAGCUCUGAACCCAAGUCCCGGUGAAUGUCGGCCGUAACUAUAACGGUCCUAAGGUAGCGAAAUUCCUUGUCGGGUAAGUUCCGACCUGCACGAAUCGUGAAACGAGUUGGGCACUGUCUCAACCAGGCGCUCAGUGAAAUUGUAGUGGCGGUGAAGAUGCCGCCUACCCGCAGAAGGACGGAAAGACCCUAUAGACCUUAACUGUAAGCUGUCAUUGUUUCUUCGGUUUUAAUGCUCAGAGUAAGUGGGAGACGCUGAAGAUGCCCUUUAGGGGGCAUCCGAGUCAUCAAUGAGACACCACCCUUUGAAACUGGAGGAUCUAACCCUGAGCCGUGAAUCCGGCCAGAGGACCGUGUCAGCCGGUCAGUUUUACUGGGGCGGUAUCCUCCCAAAGAGUAACGGAGGAGCGCGAAGGUGGGCUCAGCCCGGUUGGCAACCGGGUGUCGAGUGCAUGGGCAUAAGCCCGCCUAACUGUGAGACCAACAAGUCGAGCAGAUGCGAAAGCAGGCCCAAGUGAUCCGGCGGUAGAAAGUGGAAUUGCCGUCGCUCAACGGAUAAAAGGUACCUUAGGGAUAACAGGCUGAUCACGCCCAAGAGUUCAUAUCGACGGCGUGGUUUGGCACCUCGAUGUCGGCUCGUCGCAUCCUGGGGCUGUAUUCGGUCCCAAGGGUUUGGCUGUUCGCCAAUUAAAGC
rnacentral:rRNA from 1 species